rnacentral:rRNA from 1 species
UACGAAGGGGGCUAGGCGUUGCUCGGAAUCACUGGCGUAAAGCGCACGUAGGCGGAUUGCUAAGUCAGGGGUGAAAUCCUGGGAGCUCAACUCCAGAACUGCCCUUUGAUACUGAAGAUCUUGAGUCCGGGAGAGGUGAGUGGAACUGCGAGUGUAGAGGUGAAAUUCGUAGAUAUUCGCAAGAACACCAGUGGCGAAGGCGG